rnacentral:pre_miRNA from 1 species
GAUUUCAACUAAAAAAAGUCAUCGACAACAAAGUUGUAUAAUUUAUCAACAUCUAUAACUUUUAUGUUUAUCAUUUCUUCAUCUGACAAAUUGUUAGUAACAUUGUUCAUAAAAUUUUUGUAUUUGUGUUAUGCUUUAUAAAACAGAUGAGAGGUAUAUGAAUUUUGCAAACAAUGUUACUAUCACUUUGUUGGAUAAAGAAAUGACCAAAAUAAAAGUUACAGAUCUUGAUGAGUUAUACAUCUUUGUUGUUGAUGAUUUUUUUAGUUGAAAUC